UACGUAGGGUGCGAGCGUUAAUCGGAAUUACUGGGCGUAAAGCGUGCGUAGGCGGUUCGCUGUGUCCGAUGUGAAAGCCCCGGGCUUAACCUGGGAAUGGCAUUGGAAACUGGCGGGCUUGAGUGCGGCAGAGGGGGUGGAAUUCCGCGUGUAGCAGUGAAAUGCGUAGAGAUGCGGAGGAACACCGAUGGCGAAGGCAGCCCCCUGGGUCGACACUGACGCUCAGGCACGAAAGCGUGGGGAGCAAACAGG
rnacentral:rRNA from 1 species